UACAGAGGGCCCAAGCGUUGUUCGGAUUCACUGGGCGUAAAGGGUGCGUAGGCGGUCGGGUAAGUCUGAUGUGAAAUCUCACAGCUUAACUGUGAAACUGCAUUGGAUACUAUCCGGCUAGAGGAAUGGAGGGGAGACUGGAAUACUUGGUGUAGCAGUGAAAUGCGUAGAUAUCAAGUGGACCACCAGUGGCGAAGGCGAGUCUCUGGACAUUUCCUGACGCUGAGGCACGAAAGCUAGGGGAGCAAACAGG
rnacentral:rRNA from 1 species